AUUUAAAUAGCUUAUAAAAAAGAGUAUGACAUUGAAGAUGUUAGGGAGAUUGUUAAAUCUUUAAAUA